GACGAACGCUGGCGGCGUGCUUAACACAUGCAAGUCGAACGGAAAGGCCCUGCUUUUGUGGGGUGCUCGAGUGGCGAACGGGUGAGUAACACGUGAGUAACCUGCCCUUGACUUUGGGAACACUUCAGGAAACUGGGGCUAAUACCGGAUAGGAGCUCCUGCUGCAUGGUGGGGGUUGGAAAGUUUCGGCGGUUGGGGAUGGACUCGCGGCUUAUCAGCUUGUUGGUGGGGUAGUGGCUUACCAAGGCUUUGACGGGUAGCCGGCCUGAGAGGGUGACCGGCCACAUUGGGACUGAGAUACGGCCCAGACUCCUACGGGAGGCAGCAGUGGGGAAUAUUGCACAAUGGGCGGAAGCCUGAUGCAGCAACGCCGCGUGCGGGAUGACGGCCUUCGGGUUGUAAACCGCUUUCGCCUGUGACGAAGCGUGAGUGACGGUAAUGGGUAAAGAAGCACCGGCUAACUACGUG
rnacentral:rRNA from 1 species